CCCCCUGCAUAUGCUCAACUCCUUGCUUAUGGCCUGUGUUUUGGGUGGUGGCUCCUAUUGUUUCAACCAUCUUAUUCCAUGAAGGACUUAAUUGUUUCUUACAUUUAUCCUGAAUGAAGGGCAGCUUUACCCCCACCCGCUUCAAGUGUCCACCCAGCCCCAGCACAUCGGGCACUAGCUCUGGGCACUAUGGGAUGGAAAAGCCCAUCAGCACCUCCCACAUCAAGAGGCUAUCCCAUGUAUGCCUUGGAAAGUGCUUUCUGGGUGGGGAAAGCAGUGGUUUCCAUGUAUGUCUUUAUGGGAGGUGGUUGAGGAUCACCAUUGCUUGCCUCACCUGAUAUAGGUAGGUCAGGAGUGGUCCUCCCCAGCAGUUAUAUGGGAGUGAAGAGAGGGUGUACAGUGGUCCCAGGGUCUCUCCUCUUCUGUGCUUCCUGCAGUGCUAAUGUGGAGGCUGGACCCCAUCCCCUCCUGCCUCCCUGACAUCUCCCUCUCUGAGCCAAACCUGUCCCUGGCUGCCUGCCAGUCGGGAGGCCCCUCUGCACGGGGAGCCCAGCUCUGUUGUCUUUGUAAAUAGAACGAGGGGCCAGCAGAGGGAUUUCUCUGGUUUCGUUGCAAAGUUCCUGUGAGUUUUCCUCUCCACACUCCAAUGGCCCCUCCAGCAGGCUUGGCCUCUUCCCUUCCUUUUGGCUUCUUCCUGGGGCUGGGAUGCGCACACGGCUUCCUGGUGUGUGCCGGGCAAUGCCUCACUUGUUUCGCGUGGGAGUGUGGCUUCCUGACGAGAGCUGGGGACUGGAAGUCAGGAUGCCUGGGUUCCGAACUCAGCUCUGCCCUGAUUUCCUGAGUAGUGCUGGCCAAGUAAUUUCCUGUGCCUCGGUUUCCCCAUCUGUAAAUGGGGGAUGAUUCUCUUUGUGCCGCAGAGGUCCGAGUGCCUGAUUCUGCGCUGCUGGCACUUCCGCAGUUACCCCCGAUCCUCACCGGGUGAGAUCAGCACAGCUCCUUACUCUGGUGCACUACUCCAGUUCCAGGAAAGGUUGAGAACCGCUGAUCCAAAUGAGCUUCCUUAACUGCUUCCUGUCUUACCGGCCGAGUACUGAGAGUGGUUCUGCCUGGUAGGCUCAGAGACUCACCAAGAGCUGCCACAGCACUAAUGGAGCUGGCGGGGGCUUUUAUUAGAAUUUGUGGCCCAAUACAUCUGAGGGUGCAUCAGAGAAGAUGAGUGUGGAAGUCCCUCGGCCACACCCAGUCACCAGUGUCUAACCGGCCUGAUGACACUUGGCAUGAAACUUCUUGCCAGUCCUUGCCUGGGACUUCUUCCCCGACACUACCCCUAGGCUGCAUAGCUUAGCUGGUAUCCAUAGUGCCCUCUUGUUCCUCAAAUGCUCUCGCGAACCAGGAGGAACAUGGAUUUUAAAGCAUCUGAAGGUGCUGAAGUUCAAAGCCUGUUUUCUUAGCUCAAAUUCUGGUCCGUGGUUAUGCAACAUUUCCCAGUGAGUAGCUUUCCUGCAGGGUGCUGUGUCCUUCCAGCACCAGCCCAGGGUGAACAUUUCCCUUCAAAGCAGAGCAUUUGGGCACAGAUGAAGAUGAAAGUGCAGAAAGCUCCACACAGAGAGGGUAGAAGAGAUGAGGCGUUUUCAAUAAAUGCUCCUGCCCCAGAAAAGUGGAACUAAUGGCAUUUGCGACGUAAAGCAGGUGCUCUGCCCGCUCAGCGCACACAACAUCACCUCCAGGAUUAGCUACAGCAAGGCUCCUCUGCUGCCAGGGAGAAAAAUCACUGGAGAGGAGACUGGAGGUAAUUCCUCCCUCAUUACUAUGGACAUCUGGGACAGUUCAGUUAAAGUGCAGGGUAAGCCUGGGUCCGAAUCCCAGCUCUGAUACUCGCUAGCUGCAAGGCCUGAGGAAAGUUCCUUCCCAUCCAUGUCUCCAUUACUGCCUGCUACCUUGGAGUGCUUUGGGGAUCGGCUAACCGCUUUGGAAAUGGGAUGUUCUCUGUCAGCGCGACGGGUCAGGCACUGAGAGGUGUGCAGCUCUCCUGACUUCAGUGGGGAGCUGACAAGCAGCCCCUCCGAAAAUCAGGGGCUGAGUGCAGUUGUCAUGCCCAUCAGACUUAACCCUUCAUGUGCUAGCUAGUCAGAGUUGGAACGCAAACACUGGCUACUUUGUGAAGGUGUGGCAGGGGCUGUAGUGUAUGAAUCGGGGAGGGUUUCUGGCAGCUUCGGAUGAGGGUGGGGCUCUUGUCCGGAGUGCUGCCAUUCUAUACAUCCCCCCGCCCCAUUCUGCAUUCUGUGCUGGUCCCCCUUUCUCAGACAAGAUAGCGCAGCAAUAGGAUAGGAAGGGGGUAGAGACGGAGCCGAGGCCGGGAGAGAUUGAAAAGACUGGGCCAGUUCAGUGGAGAGAGGAGGAGACAAAGAUGACUGGCUAGGCAGGUAAAUCAGGGCUCCACACUGCCAGAACAAAGGGCCAUUCCGUGACUUGAAAGGCAGCAGGUGGAGAACUCCUCAAAGGAAGGAACUGGUGCGUAAUUCACCUGUAGGACUCUCAGCCACAGGCUAGCGCUAAGGCCGGGAGUCGCUGAAUAAGUGAAACAAACGAUGGGCUGGGGGGAAAUUCGCCGCAUUCCUGCUUCCUGCGGCGCUACCCUUCAGGGCUGUGGGUCUAGCCCAGCUGAGGGGCUGGGAUAGAGGGGCGGGCUGGCUGUAUGCUGUACCGGGGGCUGCUGGGAGCUGUAGUUUUCUCUCCCCUCCCCCGUUGUGUACUGUGAAGCAGGCUAGGCAGCACUCACGUGUGGUGCAUCCUCUCGCCAGCAUGGACUACAAGUCCCAGGAGUGCUGAGCGGGCUGGUCUUGGGGAAGUUUGCAAUAACAGGGCUCUGUGAAUUCAGUACAGCGCCUGGGCUUCGCUGGACUCUUUCCCUAAGAUGGCUGGAGAGAGGUGGGAUGAAAGCGUCGGUCAGGUCUCUCUCUGAGCAGCUUCCAGCCUUUGGGUUGUGCCUCUCUCCUGUCCCCAGCCCCCGCUUAUUAGCUCUCCUUGCUGUCAGUGCAGGGAUCUGCAGCAGCCCCUCGAAGAAGCUGGGAGAAGGGACGAUUCGAGUUGCCAAUCCUAGUAAAAGGUGAAGGGACAGGAUCUCGUCCUCACAUCCUCCACACAGGAUCCACGGCAUCUUCCACCGAGGCGUCUCCGAUGGGAAAGUGCCUGCAGGGGGUGCUGCCCAGGUGCUGGUGACGUCUGAGGAUGGCAGGGUCUGUUUCUCCCCGGCGGAGUGGGCGGCGUUAGCGGAAUGGCAGAGGGAGCUGUACUGGGACUAGGAGCUGGUCACCUCGCUGGGUGAGGACUGUCUGCUGCACAGGCUAGAGGCGAAAGCAGCUCCCCGGGAAGAGCGAUCAGCCUGGGCCCCUGGUGGAGCAGGGUCUGCGAGCCCCAUCCCCCACACAAGGCAGGGAGGCUGGGGUAGCCAUGUCCGAAGAACCGCACCCCUCAAAGGAGGGAGCGGGAUGGCACAGCGAACUGGAGCUGGGCUGUGGAACCUUUUCUCGCGGCGUCACCAGUUCAAAUCCAGGCCACCCAGCUCUCAAACCUGAUUUCUUGUUCCGGAUUGAACGAGGGGAACAACCAGGUGUGGGGGUUCAGCUGGUCUCUGGUGGCUUAGAGCGUCCGCCAGAUCCCUGCGCAGGCUAUGGAUUUUUCAAGCCCGAUGGUUUAUUCCGUAUUGAGCAAUGGGAGGAGCGCUACAUGGAGGCUCAGCAGAAACUGGAGGAGAGCAAGAUCCUCGGAAGUGCCUGCGUAGCAGAGCACGGGGGUGCGAACACAGUCGAGCAAGAAGAGAACUCGGAGAGCUUUGCUGCAGACUUAGAGCUGUCGCCCGUGGUCUGUGACAGUUCCGACGGCUCGUUUCACAGUCGGCAGCUGGUAUCCAAGAGGCAGCAGAGAAACCCGACAAGGAUCAAGAUGGAAGAAUCAGCUGGCUUCAGCAAGUGUUCAGAUGCCGUCGUACGUCAGCUAGGGGCUGGGCCUUUCCAGUGUGCCGAGUGCGGGAAGCGCUUCCGGCAGAAGCAGAGCCUCAUCACGCACGAGAGGAUCCACACGGGAGAGAAGCCCUACAGAUGUCCAGACUGCGGGAAGAGCUUCAGCCAGAAGCCCAACCUCCUGACUCACCGGCGGAUCCACACCGGGGAGCGGCCCUUCUCCUGCACGCAGUGUGGGAAGAGCUUCAGCCAGAAGGCCAAUCUCAUUGCCCACCAGAGAACCCACGUGGGGGAGAAGCCGCCGCAGUGGGGCGGGCUUGGGGGGAAGCCAAAGUCCCCAGCACAGCAGGGAGACCAGGAGGAAAAGCGGCCGUUCGUAUGCCCCGAGUGCGGGAAGAGCUUCACGCAGAAACCCAACUUGGUGACUCACUACCGGACCCACACGGGCGAGCGGCCCUUCAGCUGUGCCCAGUGCGGGAAGAGCUUCAACCAGAAGACCAACCUGGUGACUCACUACAGGACCCACACCGGGGAGCGGCCCUACGCCUGCCCCCAGUGUGGGAAGCGCUUCACCCAGAAGACCAACCUGGUGACUCACCAGAGCACCCACACGGAUGCGCGCCCCUACCCAUGCGGGGAGUGCCAGAAGUGCUUCAAGGACAAGGUGUCCCUGAAAGCGCACCAGAGAACCCACAGCCUAAGCCAGCCCAGACCCUGUGGGAAUCCAGAGCCAAUCCCACUCCACAGUCCCCCCGCCGUGCCGCUCCAGCCCGCAGGUGCUGAGCAGGAGAGCCAGCGUGACCCCACUCAGCCGGUGCUAGCCCAGAAGAUCCCCGGAAGCCAGGCACUGUGCACGUGCACUGACUGUGGUAGCAGCUUCCCCCAGAAACAGCACAUCCCACUGCCCCAGCAAACCCCCUCAGCAGAGCAGGCCUUCCUGUGCGUGCAGUGCGGGGAAAGCUGCCCACAGGCGGCUCUUCUGAAGUCCCAGCCCGGCCAUGCCAUGGAGAGGCCCUGCGAGAGCGUCCAGUAUGGGAGAGGCCUCAGCCUGAACCAACAUCUCCUCAGACACCUGGAGCCCUGCCUGGGCCCUGGCGACGCGGCGCACGCAGCCCCCGGGGCAGAGCGGCCCUUCAUCUGUAACCAGUGCGGGAGCAGCUUCAGCUUUUGGCCGGCUCUCGUUGCCCAUCAGGGCAGCCACGCAGGAUGGCAGCCGUAUCCGCUUCCUGAACGCGGGAAAGGCCUCAGGCCCCGGCUGUCCCUGCCAGCCCAGCAGGAUGCGCAGGUGGGGGAGACAGCCUGGACGUGCCCCGAGUGCAGGCGGAGCUUCAGCCAGCACAGCCAGCUGGCAAAGCACCGGGAAAGCCACUGGGGCGACAGGCCCCAUCGGUGUGACGUGUGCGGGAAGAGCUUCGGCUUGAAAGCCAACCUGAUGACGCACCAGCGGCUCCACACGGGCGAGCGGCCCUUCGCCUGCAGCCAGUGCGGGCGGCGCUUCAACCAGAAGGGGAACCUGGUGACUCACUACCGGACCCACACGGGCGAGCGGCCUUUCGCCUGCCCCCAGUGCGGCAAGAGCUUCAGCCAGAAACCCAACCUGCUCGCCCACCAGAGAACCCAUGUGGGGCGGCGGCCCUUCGCCUGUGCCCAGUGCCCCAAGCGCUUCAAAGGCAAGAUGUCCCUGAAGAUCCACCAGCGUGUCCACGGAGGGGAGAGACCUCCCGCAAGGCCGCCGAGCGUGGAUCUGAUGGAGGCCCAUGCCGGGAAGAGGUGCUGUUCCCACUCGCCAUGCGGGAAACCCUUCAAGGAGCACGUCGCCCUGCAGCUCCCGCAGCGAGUGCCCGGUGGGGAGCGGCCGUACGCCUGCCCGGAGUGUGGGAAAUGCUUCCGGCAGAAGGUCACACUGGUCACGCACCUCCGGACCCACACCGGGGAGCGGCCAUUCCAGUGCACCCAGUGCGGGAGGAGCUUCAGCCAGAAGCCCAACCUCCUCACACACCAGCGGACUCACACCGGCGAGCGGCCCUUCGCCUGCACCGUGUGCGGGAAGGGCUUCAGCUGGAAGCCCAACCUGGUGACCCAUUACCGCACCCACACCGGGGAGCGGCCCUACAGCUGCACCGACUGCGGGAAGACCUUCAGCCAGAAGCCCAAUCUCCUCACUCACCGCAGAACCCACUCCCAGCAGAGGCCAUACGCUUCCCCCAGUGCCAUGCAAGCUUCCCCCACGGGGACACCUUCACCCUGUGCUGCGGUGGGGACUGGCCCCACGUGUGCUUGGCCUGCAGAGGGCACCUCAGCCACCGCAUCCCCCACGGCGGGGAGCUCCUGAAGCCAAGCAAGCAGAGACAUGGUGUCAAUGCAGCGGGGGUGACAGGAGCUUUGACGAUCAGAGAGCUCUGCGGGCGCAUCAGAGAGCACCCGUCCCCCUGUGCAAGCUGGAGCGAGUAGAGCGUGUGCCUGAUCGGCGAGCUGUACGGUGACUGGAUCUGGGAACCUGGGACUAACCCGUGCUGCUGCCGCACCCACGACACCAGACACGGACCGGGGAGUGUUACAGCCAGAAGCCAGAUCUGACUUCAUUCUGCACACACCGAACUUCAGAGAGGACACAGCUGCUGGCAGCGGGCAGGCCGGCUGAUCGAUCAGCACACAUUGCUGCAGAGUGCAGAGAGACUCCGAGUAGUGCUCGUCCGCAAGCCCCCCCGGCAUGCCAGCCGGGCACCGCUGUGCAGCAGGGUUCAUGGAGCGGGGUGCUCUGGAGGGGAUCCUGCCUCAGGCGGCGGGGAGUGAGGCUGUACACUCCACAGAUGGGACUGGGCUGCGAGAGCCGUGCGCACCCCGUCCCUCGCUCGUGGGCACGGAGCCGCUUCGUUCCCAGCCACUGAGCCGCACCGGUGAGGACCGCGUCCUGCUCUGGAUGGUGGUUAGCGCUGGGUGUGACAUGGACUUGUGCCUUCAGAGGAAGUUCUUCGGGGUGGGCACUCUUCCUGCGCCAGGGCGCUUGGUGCCACGCUGAUACCCACGAUAACUGCGCGUUUGCACUUGGUGUGGACACUCACUAGGUUACAGCUGUGGGAUGGCGUUUCAGCCCCCCGUGGUUGGUGAUCUAGGGCUGCCCUGUCCCACGACGGGCCCUGAUGUGCUGCCACUGGGCCAGGUGUGCGUUUCCAGUGUGCCAUGGAGCUGCUGGUGGCACGUCAGUUCCUUGGGGGUCAGCACCCUGAGGUGGGCCGGCAGAGCCUGGAGGACCGGUAAGGAUUGUGCGUGGCUCACUGAUCAGGCUCCUGGCUAGGCAGCCAGCUGGAUGGGACUGGCAGGGGCAGGAGGCUGCCGGAUGGGGCGGGAUGGCACAGUUGCUUAGCAUGGUUGGGGACCAUUUCUCUAGCAUGAAGCCAAACCUCCUGUGUACCCGCAGCCCUCUCAUCACCAACCAUCUCGUGCUGCUGCUGUGUAUUCACGGCAUGUCCCUGGUGGGAAAUGCCCAUGUCACCAUCCUUGCUAACCAGCCCCGCGCUCGCGCCGUCUUUCAGAGCCAGGGAGUCUCCCCCUGGUAUGUUCAUUUACAAUAAAAGCUUUGGGGCAGCA